rnacentral:rRNA from 1 species
GUGGAUUAGAUACCCGAGUAGUCCACGCCGUAAACGAUGGGUACUAGGUGUAGGGGUUUCGAUACCUCUGUGCCGCCGUUAACACAAUAAGUACCCCGCCUGGGGAGUACGGUCGCAAGAUUAAAACUCAAAGGAAUUGACGGGGGCCCGCACAAGCAGCGGAGCAUGUGGUUUAAUUCGAAGCAACGCGAAGAACCUUACCUAGACUUGACAUCUCCUGCAUUACCCUUAAUCGGGGAAGUCCCUUCGGGGACAGGAAGACAGGUGGUGCACGGCUGUCGACAACU